rnacentral:rRNA from 1 species
GACGAACGCUGGCGGCGUGCUUAACACAUGCAAGUCGCACGGGACUGGGGGCAACUACCAGUUCAGUGGCGGACGGGUGCGUAACACGUAAGCAACAUGUCCAAGGGUGGGGGAUAGCCGGCCCAACGGCCGGGUAAUACCGGCAUGCAGUCACCGGCGGCAUCACUGGUGACGAAAGCCGGGGCAACCUGGCGCCCAUGGAGUGGCUUGCGGCCUAUCAGCUAGUUGGUGGGGAACGGCCACCAAGGCAACGACGGGUAGCUGGUCUGAGAGGAUGACCAG